rnacentral:lncRNA from 1 species
CAACAGGCUGUGGUAACCCAGGAUGGUCAGACCAAGGUGGAGGGGAACACAGAAGUAGACCUGGAGAAGAGGCAAUAACUCAGUUAGGAAAUGGAGCAUGGAAAAGUGGACCAGAUUAUCCGAUCAGUGAAAUGAUAUUGGAAUUGCAAGAAUGGGGCUGGAAGAAGGACCCUGGAUAUUCGGGGGUGGGACCAUCUCAUGACUGAAAAUGUGGAGCAGAAUGUUGAUCCAAGGGUACCUCAAAGGUACAGAGAAGAAGGAAAAUGCUCUGAAGAUAG